CGCCCCUGCCUCCAUGGUACCGCGGUGCCGCCGCUUCCGCUGCCCACCGACGCGCGCGCCGCAGAUCCACGCCGCCCUGCCACAGUGAUGCCGUCGUCCCCACCGCCACACGCGCCGCAGAUCCAUGGCGGUCCUCCCGAGAUUAGUCAUGCGAGCUGAUGCCUAAUGCCUCCUCCCCCCCCCCCCCCCCACCCCCCGGCCCCUACCUUCCCAACACCCCAAGCUGCGGGUGCCGCCACCGCUGCAUCCGCGCCUCCCCCUUGGCCUCUUGCCCGACCCUCGCGCCUCUCCCUCCGCGAGACGCUGCCGUCCGGUUCCACUCCCACAGAUCCGCAUGCACACGGCGCACGCCUCCACUCUCUGCGGUGGCUCGCCACUCCUGCAUCCGCCCUCCCUGCGCCGAGAGGGGAGCGACGCCGCCGGCCGCACCUCCCCUCCGCGGCGUGGCCGUGCCAGGGCAGCAGGGCCCCCGGCCGGCGUGGCGUCGCGCGUGCAGCCUGCUAAUCAGCCUCCCGCCGCCGACACACGUCAAGAACGACCGGUGGCUGGGGCGACGAUACUUUCGAGGGCAUCACAGCUGUGCCCAACGAUUCAUCAUUCCCCGCACGAUCACGGGAUCACAAGCAUAGCGACUCUGUCCGUGCUUCAUUGGGUCAGCCAUGUAUACCCACGGUACAAGCAAGCUAAACUCCAAAUGGAGUGAGCUCAACGCAGAUGCAUCUGGCGAGAUUCUCAAACGUCUUGAUGUCAUAGACAAACUAAACUUCAUGUGCACAUGUAGAUCGUGGUUUUCCGUGUGCUGUGCUCUCAAGGGUAAUCGUCUCAGAUCAGGCUCCGUAAUAUUACUUUUACCCGACUUACAUUUAUAGAUAUUGUACACAAACUGGACCUUCUGUUAAAGUGAUUCAUCUAUAAAAAAGCUGGAUGUGACAAUGGGAAUGGUUGAUAGGGUGAAAAUGUAACAUAUGCAGUAAUCACCUUGAUGAUAAAUUAUUGCUCAAGCUUCCUCAGCAGCUGUUCCUUUGAAGGGUCUGUUGGUGGAGAGUGCCUCCGGAACGGACUAACACCACAACAGUGAGGGAAGAGCGCACCAGUCGAAGAGAACAACUCCGAAUCAGAAACAGGUCUUCGCACAGCUGAACUACAGUGACUCAAGACCCUGCCUAAGUGGGUGUCAUUUGUUGCAUUCUCAUUGCCAUGUUGACGUGUUUCUACCCUGUUGUCAAAGAGGUCUCCAUAUUACGCAAUCGAAUAUGCAAAAGUUUACUAGAUGUAUGUUUGGCACCAAGGUAUUUGCAGAUGUGCAGAAGGGGAAGAUGAAUUAGCCAACGUAUCUUUGAACUGUUGGCAAGCUCUAGCAUCAAUAAAACACUCACUUAAUAAUCUCAUGGUGUAAUUUUGCAGGUUAAUUGAUGAAAUUUUUAAAAGAAGCUGUUGCAGGUGCAUCUACCUCAUUUCUGGUGUUUAUUUGAUAGUUAGAUCAGUUCAUUAAUUGUUUGGUUCACCUUGCGAUAUAUAACAUAAGUACAUGAUUACUAGCUACUUCAUUUGCAGAGGUGCCUAGAGGGAAGUUGUUGGGUGACUGCCUCACUGAAGGUAGAGGCGACAAGAAAGGUCCAUGCGAAUGAGGGGCUGCAUCAGCAUGGGACUCCUUGACACUACACUGCAGGAGAUCGAUGCCGGGAUGUGAUGUGCUCGCGAGGAUAAUAUGAAGCUCAGCAAGGAGCGAAACGUUUGUGCAGCCAUCCAACAAGCUGGCAGGAGACCAGCACAUGGUGCCUUCUUUGAUACUUCUGUUCAUGCUUUCUUUUGUAGAAAUUGGUUGGCUUAGUCUUAUGCAUCUCCAUAUGGUAUACUAUAGCUUUGAAACGUUUUUUUUAUAGGAAGAUUGAAGUAGUUAGGUGAAGGGGAACACACUAUUUGGACUAUUUAUCACUAUAUAUUAAGAUCAUAAGAGAAUACUGGAUUGUGAUUUCUUUGAUAAUUUGCUGUCUGUUAUGGGUUAGAAACUGAAAGACCUCAUGGGUAUUGAGCUCCAAAAUAUUGUACUUCUUAGUUCUGUUAUGAAAAUAAUGCUGGUCUAACCACAUGACAA